UACAGAGGGGGCAAGCGUUAUUCGGAAUUCUUGGGCGUAAAGGGCGCGUAGGCGGCUUUUCAAGUGACGGGUGAAAUCCCUCGGCUUAACCGAGGAACUGCCUGUCAGACUGGAAGGCUUGAGACCGGGAGAGGUGAGUGGAAUUCCCAGUGUAGCGGUGAAAUGCGUAGAUAUUGGGAGGAACACCAGUGGCGAAGGCGGCUCACUGGACCGGAACUGACGCUGAGGCGCGAAAGCGUGGGGAGCAAACAGG
rnacentral:rRNA from 1 species